AACAUAGCCUUUAGCAAUAUUAGUAUUAUAGGUACUGCCUGCCCAGUGAGACCAUCUUCAACGGCCGCGGUAUCCUAACCGUGCAAAGGUAGCGUAAUCACUUGUCUUCUAAAUAAAGACUAGUAUGAACGGCCAAAUGAGGAUUUACCUGUCUCUUAUAUCCAAUCAGUGAAACUAAUCUUUCAGUACAAAAGCUGAAAUAUACACAUAAGACGAGAAGACCCUGUGGAGCUUUAAACUACUAAUUAAAACUAUAGUUUACCGUUUUAAGUUGGGGCGACUUUGGAAAAAAAAUAAACUUCCAAGAAAGGGCCACACACCCCACUAAGGUCAACACACCAAAGUACAAAACAUCAAGACCCAGUAACACUGAUCAACGAACCAAGUUACCCCAGGGAUAACAGCGCCAUCUUCUUCUAGAGUCCCUAUCGACAAGAAGGAUUACGACCUCGAUGUUGGAUCAGGAUACCCAAGUAGUGCAGCCGCCACUAAAGGUUCGUUUGUUCAACGAUUAAAAUCCUACGUGAUCUGAGUUCAGACCGGAGCAAUCC
rnacentral:rRNA from 1 species